UAUGGUAGGGGGCAAGCGUUGUCCGGAUUUAGUACGUGGGCGUAAAGGCGGCGCGUAGGCGGAACGAAUCAGUCCGGUCUGAAAAGCCCCCGGGCUCAACCGGGGAGGGUGGCUGGAAACUUGUCGUUUCUUGUAGGGGCGAAGAGAGGAGGGUGGAAUUCCUGGUGUAGCGGUGAAAUGCGCAGAUAUCAGGAGGAACACCAAUUGCGAAGGCAGCUCGCUGGACGUUACUGAGCUGAGACGCGAAAGCGUGGGGAGCAAACAGG
rnacentral:rRNA from 1 species